rnacentral:rRNA from 1 species
AUUUGUGCCUAAAACUCAAUAAUUUAUUAAACUUUUAUUUAUACUCAAAAACAGAGCA